UACAGAGGUCUCAAGCGUUGUUCGGAUUCAUUGGGCGUAAAGGGUGCGUAGGUGGCGCCAUAAGUCAGGUGUGAAAUCUCGGGGCUCAACCCCGAAACUGCACUUGAUACUGUGGUGCUUGAGUACUGGAGAGGAGAUUGGAAUUUACGGUGUAGCAGUGAAAUGCGUAGAUAUCGAGAGGAACACCAGUGGCGAAGGCGAGUCCCUGGACAACACCUGACACUGAGGCACGAAAGCUAGGGGAGCAAACAGG
rnacentral:rRNA from 1 species